rnacentral:rRNA from 1 species
GAUGAACGCUGGCGGCGUGCUUAACACAUGCAAGUCGAACGAAGCACUUUAACCUGAUUCUUCGGAUGAAGGUUUUUGUGACUGAGUGGCGGACGGGUGAGUAACGCGUGGGUAACCUGCCUCAUACAGGGGGAUAACAGUUAGAAAUGACUGCUAAUACCGCAUAAGACCACAGAGCCGCAUGGCUCGGUGGGAAAAACUCCGGUGGUAUGAGAUGGACCCGCGUCUGAUUAGGUAGUUGGUGGGGUAACGGCCUACCAAGCCAACGAUCAGUAGCCGACCUGAGAGGGUGACCGGCCACAUUGGGACUGAGACACGGCCCAAACUCCUACGGGAGGCAGCAGUGGGGAAUAUUGCACAAUGGGGGAAACCCUGAUGCAGCGACGCCGCGUGAGCGAAGAAGUAUUUUGGUAUGUAAAGCUCUAUCAGCAGGGAAGAAAAUGACGGUACCUGACUAAGAAGCACCGGCUAAAUACGUG